AGGAUGCUGACCAUUACAAGGUAUAAAUAAUCUCUUCUCUAUUGCUUUACACUGUCUUGGCUUGCACAUUCUUUGAUUUUCUGUCCCCUAUGGUCCGUGUUUCUGUUCUGCCUGCUGUUUCAAUAUAUGAUUGUUUUAGCCUGCACAUAUUUGAUUUUAUUUUGUUUUGAACUGGGGUUGUGCAUUAAUUUGGGAUCAAAGAUUCAUUACAAUCACGCUAGUCAGUCCCCGGCACGCAGGUUGGGAUUGCGCCAUGCAUAACACCCGCACACAACUCCCUCGACCUUGCUGGGCAAGGUCAUGAGCAACACAAUUGCCCAAUAUUUUAAUUUGGCUUAUCUUGAGUUUUUAGAAAUUCUGAAGGAUCAGUCUUGCAUCUCUGCAUAUAGAACUGAUGUAUGAUCUACUUAUCCAAUCUCAUUAAGCUCCUCCACGAAGUCACUCUCAGUAUGGAUAGGUCCAUUCUUAAUCAGAUGUGCUUUACGAAUCCCUUCUAAGCACGCCACGGCUUCAGUAGUUUCUGCACGUGCACAAUUCAUCAGAGCUACUUUGUGAUUCUCUUUAUCCGACUGGAAUUUUCCAAUUUUCAUGCGCCCUUCCCAGACAUGCCAGUCCAAAGUAUUUUUCAUCUAGUCCUAUUUGAUUUUCUGUUCUGCUAUGGCCCAUGUUUUUGUUCUGCCUGCUGUUUUUGUUAGUUAUGUCCAGACCUUGUAAAAUUCAUGCUCUUAGCCUGCACAGUUUUUACUUCGAUAUAUUUGAGUUUCCUUUCUUCUAUGGCUACUUUUUGUCUCAUAUUUUGUCCCAAACAUUUUCAGAACCGUGCGUCUUCGUAUAGCCGCUGUUCGGAUCUCAAGCUCUUUGAACCUCUUGAAACAAUAGUUGGCCGCUCAUCGACCACUCCCAACAGUUCGAGGGCCCCAAUUCUGCGGAUCGAACCGGUCACCCCAAGUGAUGCCAAGGUGCGUCCUUUUGCUCGACUGUAAAUCACUUUUCCUUGAAAGUUUCUUAUUGCCAUUUCGUGCAAAUUAUAGGCUGUGCGGGACUGUUUCCCCCUCUGGAUGCGUGAAGAAGUUGGCUCAGUAGUUUGUGUCCAGGGGGUUGAUAUGACUUUU
rnacentral:lncRNA from 1 species